rnacentral:rRNA from 1 species
AGCGAACGCUGGCGGCAGGCUUAACACAUGCAAGUCGAGCGGGCGUAGCAAUACGUCAGCGGCAGACGGGUGAGUAACGCGUGGGAACGUACCUUUUGGUUCGGAACAACACAGGGAAACUUGUGCUAAUACCGGAUAAGCCCUUACGGGGAAAGAUUUAUCGCCGAAAGAUCGGCCCGCGUCUGAUUAGCUUGUUGGUGAGGUAACGGCUCACCAAGGCGACGAUCAGUAGCUGGUCUGAGAGGAUGAUCAGCCACAUUGGGACUGAGACACGGCCCAAACUCCUACGGGAGGCAGCAGUGGGGAAUAUUGGACAAUGGGGGAAACCCUGAUCCAGCCAUGCCGCGUGAGUGAUGAAGGCCCUAGGGUUGUAAAGCUCUUUUACCCGGGAUGAUAAUGACAGUACCGGGAGAAUAAGCCCCCGGCUAACUCCGUGCCAGCAGCCGCGGUAAU